CGAUAUGUACUCGCGUGGGCAAUAUUUCGCGAUAAUAGAAAGAACAUUUUGACAUAAGUUGUGAAUGUUAGCUGAAAUAUCAGUAAUCUACAUAAUCAUGAUCUUAAUGAGAUCUACUCUUCCACCAAUGGUAGACAACAACUAUUUAGAACCAUGCAAACUACAGUAACAUGAAAUGACACACAACACGGCAAUAAAUGAUGAUACAUUUAAUGUAUGUAACACUAACACAAGCCUUUUAUCGCGGCAUCCACAAAGUAUACACACACCAAUGAGAUCAUAUAUACUGCAAACAUUCUUUAUUAGCGUACUCAUAUUUACAGCAAUGGGAGAACUUUCAUGAUUACACGCAUCAUUGUGCAGCACUAAAUGUAUAUAUUCAGUACUAACAAGAUUGGCCGUUAGUAACAGAUUUUAAAUUUACGCAAAAAAUUCGCUAAAAUACGAGUACCACUAAAAUUAGAAAGUCUGCAGGAAUAUAUGCAGUUAACAUUCAAAUGAUAAACAUAUGUAUAAUCAUAUAUUCAUGUAUAUAGUGAUAAUAAUAAAAAUAGGAAGAACACUGAAUAAAUAUAUAAUGUAUUUGAUGGAUUUCGUUUUUGAAAACUUCAUUUACAUAAUUCUGGAUAAAGCAUCCUCUAUAUACGAUAUCUACCAUAAACUAUAUCAAUUAAACUACCAAUAAUAAUGUAUAUGAGACCCACAUUGGAUUUCUGAAAUGUACACACACUAUCAAUAAACGAGUAAGUGAAAAUGUUAUCGCCAUGGCAACAACGCAAUUUCUAUUGACAAGAAAACGUUCGUUUACGUGUUUGGGGAAUUCCUAUGAUGAAAAAGUCAUCUAAAUCACACAAAAUAUAUGCCAUAAGUAGCACCUGGACAUAAAAUGUCAAUGGUGGGAUUUCAGUUGCUAUACAAAUCUGGUAAAUGCUACCAAAGCAUUUGUUAGUGACACACCUAACACAUACAAUAUGCAAGUUAUCCUAUCGUUGCUGGUAACAGGGGAAAAUUUAGAAUGUCCAGAUAACUUAUAUACUGAAGGAGGGCAAGUAUGUAGAGGUCAGUGAGUCAGGGUGUCAGUUUAGAAGGUCAGGGAGUCAGGGUGUCAGGUUAGAAGGUCAGGGAAGGUCAUGGUGUCAGGUUAGAAGGUCAGGGAGUCAGGGUGUCAGGUAAGAAGGUCAGAGGAGGUCAGGGAGUCAGAGUGUCAGGUAAGAAGGUCAGGUGAGGUCAAGUGAGAAGGCGAAGUGAGGACAGGAGGUCAGAAAGUCAGGUGAGGUUAAAAGGGGCCAAGUUAAGUUAGAACAUCAUGAGUGGUCUUGUGAGAAGGAAAAUAAGUCAACAGGUCAAGACUAGAAAGGGAAAUUCAGACAUCAAUAGUGUAGUAUCGAGCAGUUUAUCCCAUUCUGCU